rnacentral:rRNA from 1 species
UACGUAGGGUGCAAGCGUUGUCCGGAAUUAUUGGGCGUAAAGAGCUCGUAGGCGGUUUGUCGCGUCUGCUGUGAAAACGCGGGGCUCAACUCCGCGCCUGCAGUGGGUACGGGCAGACUAGAGUGCAGUAGGGGAGACUGGAAUUCCUGGUGUAGCGGUGGAAUGCGCAGAUAUCAGGAGGAACACCGGUGGCGAAGGCGGGUCUCUGGGCCACUACUGACGCUGAGAAGCGAAAGCAUGGGGAGCGAACAGG